GCAACUUGAAGCUUCCCUGGAGCGUAGGAGGCUGACGAAUGAUUUUAUACAGGCUAAGGCACUCAGAACCACGAAUUGAUUUGAUCAGAAGCAAGAAACCAUUUCUGGGUCACCAGUCUAUUUAAAUGAGUGGGUCACCAUCAGCACACC